UACGUAGGGUGCAAGCGUUGUCCGGAAUUAUUGGGCGUAAAGAGCUCGUAGGCGGUCUGUCGCGUCUGCUGUGAAAACUCGGGGCUUAACCCCGGGCCUGCAGUGGGUACGGGCAGACUAGAGUGCGGUAGGGGAGACUGGAAUUCCUGGUGUAGCGGUGAAAUGCGCAGAUAUCAGGAGGAACAUCGGUGGCGAAGGCGGGUCUCUGGGCCGUAACUGACGCUGAGGAGCGAAAGCAUGGGGAGCGAACAGG
rnacentral:rRNA from 1 species